rnacentral:rRNA from 1 species
CCCUUAGAUGUUCUGGGCUGCACGCGCGCUACACUGAAGCGUUCAACGAGUAUUCACCUUGCCCGGGAGGGUUGGGUAAUCUUUUGAAAACGCUUCGUGAUGGGGAUAGAUUAUUGCAAUUAUUAAUCUUCAACGAGGAAUUCCUAGUAAGCGCGAGUCAUCAGCUCGUGCUGAUUACGUCCCUGCCCUUUGUACACACCGCCCGUCGCUCCUACCGAUUGAGUGGUCCGGUGAAGCGUUCGGACCGUGGCCUUUGGACGGUUCGCCGUCUGUUGGCUGCGGGAAGUUCGUUAAACCUUAUCAUUUAGAGGAAGGAGAAGUCGUAACA